rnacentral:sRNA from 1 species
GACAGACAAAGACGAGAAAAGGGCUCUUGCUGUAGGUCUUCUCGCUCAGUUUACCUCACUUUCUGGAAAGGUGCCACUGGCCUCGUGCCACUUGUUAUCUUCCUGGCUAGCCGGUUAGCCCCUUGCCUGUGGGGCCCUUGCCGUGUGCUUGGGAGUCACCUGCUUCAGCCCUGGGAGCUUCAGAGCUGCUCGGCAACCAUUCCUGGGCCACGUGGACUCGCUCCACAGGUGUAGACGGCAAGUGCUGGACAAACGUUGCUUGGCAGGAUUGUUACGUGAGGUGGAAUUUCCGUCCCUCUUGUCUCCCAAGUUUACAGGAAGCUUUUUUUGGACAUUUCUUUUCAGACUCAUUCUGAUGAAGGAAAGAGCAUCCCUGUGCAGCUGCGUGUCCUUCAUUUCUUUGGCUCUGAUUCCGUGUCUGGCUUCAUCUAAGUGGCCUGGUCCAUGGGCAGUGAAGAAAUGUAAAGUGCAAUAGCCCUCUGAAACAAGACAAUCCGUGUGAGAUAAGAAAGAAGAGCCCACAAGACCAAGGAUGUAUUCUCAGUUUACA